rnacentral:rRNA from 1 species
UACGUAGGGGGCAAGCGUUGUCCGGAAUCAUUGGGCGUAAAGAGCGUGUAGGCGGCCCGGUAAGUCCGCUGUGAAAGUCGGGGGCUCAACCCUCGAAUGCCGGUGGAUACUGUCGGGCUAGAGUGCGGAAGAGGCGAGUGGAAUUCCUGGUGUAGCGGUGAAAUGCGCAGAUAUCAGGAGGAACACCGGUGGCGAAGGCGGGUCUCUGGGCAUCUCCUGACGCUGAGGCGCGAAAGCGUGGGGAGCAAACGGG